CGUAGGGGGCAAGCGUUGUCCGGAAUUACUGGGCGUAAAGAGCAUGUAGGCGGGUAUUUAAGUCAGCUGUGAAAACUAUCGGCUCAACCGGUAGACUGCAGUUGAUACUGGAUAUCUUGAGGGUAUGAGAGGGCAGUGGAAUUCCUAGUGUAGCGGUGAAAUGCGUAGAUAUUAGGAGGAACACCAGUGGCGAAGGCGACUGCCUGGCAUACAACUGACGCUGAGAUGCGAAAGCGUGGGGAGCAAACAGGAUUAGGUACCCUGGUAGUCCACGCCGUAAACGAUGGGUACUAGGUGUAGGAGGUAUCGACCCCUUCUGUGCCGUAGUUAACACAUUAAGUACCCCGCCUGGGGAGUACGGCCGCAAGGUUG
rnacentral:rRNA from 1 species